rnacentral:rRNA from 1 species
AUUGAACGCUGGCGGCAUGCUUACACAUGCAAGUCGAACGAGUGGCGGACGGGUGAGUAAUAUAUGGGAAACUGCCCAGUCGCGGGGGAUAACUACUGGAAACGGUGCUAUACCGCAUACUAUUGGAUCUGCCGAUAUCGGAUUAGCUAGUUGGUGGGGUAACGGCUCACCAAGGCGACGAUCCGUAGCUGGUGUGAGAGGAUGACCAGCCACACGGGGACUGAGACACGGGCCAGACUCCUACGGGAGGCAGCAGUGGGGAAUUUUGGACAAUGGGGGAAACCCUGAUGCAGCCAGGCCGCGUGUAUGAAGAAGGCUUCGGGUGGUAAAGUACUGUUGGCAGGGAAGCGUUAUCUGCAGAAUAAGCACCGGCUAACUCCGUGCCAGCAGCCGCGGUAAUAC